rnacentral:rRNA from 1 species
AUUGAACGCUGGCGGCAUGCCUUACACAUGCAAGUCGAACGGUAACAGGUCUUCGGAUGCUGACGAGUGGCGAACGGGUGAGUAAUACAUCGGAACGUGCCCGAUCGUGGGGGAUAACGAAGCGAAAGCUUUGCUAAUACCGCAUACGAUCUACGGAUGAAAGCAGGGGACCGCAAGGCCUUGCGCGAACGGGGCGGCCGAUGUCAGAUUAGGUAGUUGGUGGGAUAAAAGCUUACCAAGCCGACGAUCUGUAGCUGGUCUGAGAGGACGACCAGCCACACUGGGACUGAGACACGGCCCAGACUCCUACGGGAGGCAGCAGUGGGGAAUUUUGGACAAUGGGCGAAAGCCUGAUCCAGCCAUGCCGCGUGCAGGAUGAAGGCCUUCGGGUUGUAAACUGCUUUUGUACGGAACGAAAAGACUCUGGUUAAUACCUGGGGUCCAUGACGGUACCGUAAGAAUAAGCACCGGCUAACUACGUG